UUAAACUUGUAAAUCUAAAAAAGAAUCACAACUACAAACUCGUUCAUUAAAGACAUUUGACUGAAUAAUACAAAGGGGGAAGAACACUUAUAGUGGCUAUUACUCUUCUCUAGGUUAAAUUUUAAAAUAUAUAAAAAAAUAUUCUAAAAAUUAAAAAUAAACUACAUGUCUUUUCAUAUGUCAUUAUUGAGGAAAAGAUCAUGCAUAUCAUUCAUUGUAUUUUUAAAGUCAUUAUUAU
rnacentral:lncRNA from 1 species